UACGAAGGUCCCAAGCGUUAUCCGGAUUUAUUGGGCUUAAAGGGUGCGUAGGCGGGCUAUUAAGUCAGUGGUGAAAGCCCCAAGCUUAACUUGGGAACUGCCAUUGAUACUGAUGGUCUUGAGUACUUUUGAGGUGGGCGGAAUGUGUCAUGUAGCGGUGAAAUGCUUAGAUAUGACACAGAACACCGAUUGCGAAGGCAGCUCACUGAACUGUAACUGACGCUGAGGCACGAAAGCGUGGGGAGCAAACAGG
rnacentral:rRNA from 1 species